UUUUGCCUAGGGACGUUGCGUUUCAUGCCCGCAAGUCCCGAUAGACAGGUCGAUAGCCAUCCAAAGCACGCUAUCAGCUCAACAGAAGAUGUUGGUGCGCUCCAUUUGCUUCGGAGUUGCUCGUUUGGUUAGUAUGAUUUAGACGUGUAUUGUUUUGUGUGGCGGGACACUGUCUCGACCUUUAUGUCAUUUAUGUAUUCUUAG
rnacentral:lncRNA from 1 species